rnacentral:tRNA from 1 species
GCAUCCGUAGCCAAGACGGUAAGGCGUCGGUCUGCAAAACCGAAAAUCGCGAGUUCGAUUCCCGCCGGAUGCU